rnacentral:tRNA from 1 species
GCGGGGAUAGCUCAGUUGGGAGAGCGUUAGACUGAAGAUCUAAAGGUCACGUGUUCGAUCCACGUUCACCGCA